GGUCCUGGGGGAAACACAAGGCGGUUAGCUCAGUCUGCGGACCGGCUUAGCUGUCCCCACCUGGUCAGCCGAUCCUCCCCUUCCCUGUGUUGACAGAGUAACCUGGGCGUCAGAGAGGGCAAGGGCAGUGGGAUCAGUCCCAGGGCGCAGGCAGAGUCUGAGGGCCUCAGCUCUUGGAGCAAGGGGUCUGCAGCCAGCCCACUCCCUGCAGGGUGCCUCCAUCGGGAGUUCGGUUAGCCCCAUGCUCCAGCCCCACGCACCCGAGCUGUUUCCUGGCCACUCUUGUCUCCUCCGUGGGAUCCUUCCCUGAUGGACAAGGACCCAGAAUGUUCUCAGAUCACAGAGGAGCUGAGAUGGGGUGGGGACCGGGCAGGGGUCAGGGGCAGCUUCAUAACCUCUCUCCUUCCUUCUGUUAAUGUCCUAAAGGUGUCAUAUAAAUAUUGAUCUGGGGCCUAGGGAUAUAGCUCAGCAGCACAAGCGCCUGCCAGAUGAGGACCCCAAGGUCUCCAGUUCCAAGGGAGAAAUGAUUUGCCCCAGGGGCACACAGCUGGCAAGUGGCAGAGCCCUGGCUGGGAGAUGGGCAUGCCACCAGGAUCACCACAGCCAAAAUCGAUUUCCUAGGGGCCAACCUUGCAGAAAGCCAGUAUACCAUACCUCUUCCCCAACUGCUGCAUACUCCCCACAAACUGUAGGCAGGGUACUGAAUAAUGCACUCCUUACUUCUAAAACUCUGCCUUGCUUCUGGGAAUGACCAGGUAACCUCAGGCCCUCUGCCCCUGGCUUCCUUUGCUCCUCCUAUAGGACUCAGCGGGGUGAUCUCCUGACCUCUUCGGCUCCACACAGUGCUUUUGCCACCACAUCAUGCAACACCCUGCACUGCCACUAUUUGCUGGCCCAUUCUUCCCUCUUCCCAUUCCCACCCCGAGCUUCCUGAGGGCGAGCUCUGCCCUUGUUACUCGGUGCCCGGCACAGUGCCUGGCAUGCAGUCAAUCGAUGUUAAAUAAAUAUUUGUUAAUGGCAAGGGAAGGAACAGACUUGCAGAGAUUAGGUUUGGGGUGGCCUGGGUAUAUUGGUCUUUUCUGAGGAAGGAGACAGAACAGGAAAGGAACUUGCCACCAUGGACACUGACCAGGUUGCUCAUGCAUUAUUAGUAAAUAGGCCAAGCAGGCAUAGCAGCACUGGCUGGAAACUGAUACCUCCCCAGUGCAAGAGCGAGGCAAGGGGACAUGCUGAGCAGGCAGGCCCAGGUCAGGGUUAGGGUGGCUCUGAGGCCUGGGCAACUGGGGCUCCCAGUGUGCUAUGGGGGGACUUGACUUUCUUGAACUUGGUGGGGAGUGCCGAGUAGGUGGCCUGAAGCUGUGACAGGGGCCAAAACACUGGCUCACUUGAGCCCCCAGAGGCGAUUUAGAAUUGCGAGUCACCCUCCCUCCACCUCCUGGAGGCCCAGUCUGCUACUGAUUGUUGAUCAGGGCAGGGUUACUUGUCAGAAGUAGUGUUCCUUAAUAGGGAGAAGCAGUGCUGAUGACAUUCCCAGGGCCUCAGACCUGAAGCAGACAUCCUGCACCUGCGGGGGCACCUCACACCCACUAAGCCCAGCCCUGCAGGAUGGACUUCACAUGCAACCUUGGCGGGGGUGGGGUGGGCUUCUGCAAAGUUACCAUCUUCUGAACUUCAGCAGAAAAAAGUUAAGUGGCAGCUCCUAGGACAGUCACCUCCUCCGAGAAGUCCAGCUGGCUCUCAGACAGUAGCUCUCUCUCUCUCUCUCUCCCUAGUUCUAAACUCAGAUCACUGCCUGGCUCAUGCCACUUUAUGCCUGCCCACGAUGGCCUCUCAACGGGUAGGCGUGGUCAGAUAGAGACACCCUCCAAAGAGGCCUUGAACAUCUAUCUUGUUUGUAAGUUACUGUGUUAAUUAAAUAGUCUGAAUUUGCCAAAUAAAAACAGCCUAAAUGGGCCCCC